rnacentral:rRNA from 1 species
GUUGUAUGGUUAAGUGACUAAGCGUACACGGUGGAUGCCUUGGCAGUCAGAGGCGAUGAAGGACGUAUUAACUUGCGAUAAGCCCAGAUUAGGCAGUAAAAGCCACUUGAGUCUGGGAUUUCCGAAUGGGGAAACCCACUUACAUAAGUAAGUAUCAUUAACUGAAUACAUAGGUUAAUGAAGCGAACCGGGGGAACUGAAACAUCUAAGUACCCCGAGGAAAAGAAAUCAACCGAGAU